UACGUAGGAUGCAAGCGUUGUCCGGAAUCAUAGGGCGUAAAGCGAACGUAGGCGGUCCUUUAAGUCCGUGCUUAAAGACCGGGGCUCAACCCCGGGAGUGGCAUGGAUACUGGGGGACUGGAGGACGUCAGAGGGAAGUGGAAUUCCUAGUGUAGCGGUGAAAUGCGUAGAUAUCGGGAGGAACACCAGUGGCGAAGGCGGCUUCCUGGCCCGUUCUUGACGCUGAGGCGCGAAAGCUAGGGGAGCAAAC
rnacentral:rRNA from 1 species